rnacentral:rRNA from 1 species
CGUGAGGGAUGACGGCCUUCGGGUUGUAAACCUCAUUCAGUAGGGAAGAGGGCCUUCGGGUUGACGGUACCUGCAGAAGAAGCGCCGGCUAACUACGUGCCAGCAGCCGCGGUAAUACGUAGGGCGCAAGCGUUGUCCGGAAUUAUUGGGCGUAGAGAGCUCGUAGGCGGUUUGUCGCGUCUGCUGUGAAAACGCGAGGCUUAACCUCGCGCCUGCAGUGGGUACGGGCAGACUAGAGUGCGGUAGGGGAGACUGGAGUCCCUGGUGUAGCGGUGGAAUGCGCAGAUAUCAGGAGGAACACCGGUGGCGAAGGCGGGUCUCUGGGCCGUUACUGACGCUGAGGAGCGAAAGCAUGGGGAGCGAACAGGAUUAGAUACCCUGGUAGUCCAUGCCGUAAACGUUGGGCACUAGGUGUGGGACCCAUUCCACGGGUUCCGUGCCGCAGCUAACGCAUUAAGUGCCCCGCCUGGGGAGUACGGCCGCAAGGCUAAAACUCAAAGGAAUUGACGGGGGCCCGCACAAGCGGCGGAGCAUGCGGAUUAAUUCGAUGCAACGCGAAGAACCUUACCAAGGCUUGACAUACACCGGAAACAUCCAGAGAUGGGUGCCCCGCAAGGUCGGUGUACAGGUGGUGCAUGGUCGUCGUCAGCUCGUGUCGUGAGAUGUUGGGUUAAGUCCCGCAACGAGCGCAACCCUUGUCCUGUGUUGCCAGCGGGUUAUGCCGGGGACUCAUGGGAGACUGCCGGGGUCAACUCGGAGGAAGGUGGGGAUGACGUCAAAUCAUCAUGCCCCUUAUGUCUUGGGCUUCACGCAUGCUACAAUGGCCGGUACAAAGGGUUGCGAUGCCGCGAGGUGGAGCGAAUCCCAAAAAGCCGGUCUCAGUUCGGAUUGGGGUCUGCAACUCGACCCCAUGAAGUCGGAGUCGCUAGUAAUCGCAGAUCAGCAACGCUGCGGUGAAUACGUUCUCGGGCCUUGUACACACCGCCCGUCACGUCACGAAAGUCGGUAACACCCGAAGCCGGUGGCCCAACCUCCUGUAGGGGGGAGCCGUCGAAGGUGGGACUGGCGAUUGGGACG